rnacentral:rRNA from 1 species
AUUGAACGCUGGCGGCAUGCCUUACACAUGCAAGUCGAACGGCAGCACGGGAGCAAUCCUGGUGGCGAGUGGCGAACGGGUGAGUAAUAUAUCGGAACGUGCCCAGUCGUGGGGAUAACGUAGAGAAAUUUACGCUAAUACCGCAUACGAUCUAAGGAUGAGAGCGGGGGAUUCGCAAGAACCUCGCGCGAUUGGAGCGGCUGAUAUCAGAUUAGGUUGUUGGUGAGGUAAAAGCUCACCAAGCCGACGAUCUGUAGCUGGUUUGAGAGAACGACCAGCCACACUGGGACUGAGACACGGCCCAGACUCCUACGGGAGGCAGCAGUGGGGAAUUUUGGACAAUGGGCGCAAGCCUGAUCCAGCAAUGCCGCGUGCAGGAUGAAGGCCUUCGGUUGUAACUAGCUUUGUUACGGAACGAACGGUGAGCUCUAAUACAGUUUGCUAAUAGACGGUACCGUAAGAAUAAGAC